CAGCAGAUGUUGUCUUGAGGUCCUCCUU
rnacentral:sRNA from 1 species